AGCAGGGAUGAGGGAGAGAAGGAAAGAAGGUAACACAAGACGAAAAUAAUAGUAAAAAAUGGGAAUGAAGGGUGGGAGGAAAAAAAAAAAGAAGAGAAUGCAAAAAGCAGGGAGUAAAAUAAAAAGAAAAACAAUGUCAAAUACAGGAAUCUUACAAAUUAAUCAUUAUACCAUUAAAGGUUAAAAAAAGUAAAAAAUGAGGUGUCAACAUUUUAGUAGAGCAACAGAAGAGACAGCUGUAGACUGCUAACCUUGGACAAACAGACUUCAAUGGUUUUAGGACACUACAGACAAUGUUGUUAGUGGAAAACACGUGUCUAGCAUACUGAUUUAUUUCUUAUUCUUUCUUUCCUUUUUUUUUUUUUCUUUCUUUCUUUUAUUUUUGUGAAGAAGUCGGUAAACAUUGCGGCCUUGCUAUCAUUAUGUACGUUCAUUGAGACAGGUAUUCCGGGUCUGUCAUGUCAUUACUAGAAGUUUGUACGUGAUGUCCUGUGGAAACCAUAAGAAAGCUCUCUUUGGGAGGAAAAAAAAAUUAGUGUACAACAAAGAAAGAGGAUGAUACUUACGCCUUGUUUCACACAGAUUAGCCUGCUCCUAGAGUGAAAUAAAAUCUAGGCUUCUGUCAUAAGCUAAUUACUCCAAGAUAAUAGCUGAAUGGAGCACCUUCAUAGUUCAGUAAGUCUUCAUUCUUAAGUCUAUUUGCCACUAUACACAGUGUAAUACUUACAUAAAACAGUAAAAUUAAAAACCAAUAGAAACCCAUCUGUUCACCACCACAGUCGAUAAUGCAAUGAAGACGCAACACACAGUGAUGACUUCUACAGUGCUCCUGUGACAUGGAAUACCUAAAUGCAGACGUUUACUGUGGGACUUGCCCUACAGCCUGAGAAAAUGAACAGUUCUCAGAGCACUGCCAUCCCACAUCCCUUUCAUCAGACUUCCUGAUUCCCACAAAGUUACAGACUACAUGAAUUUGCCACAGCAGCAUGUAAAAAUAGGUGUAUUUUAAAUGUGGGGGAAGAUGAAGCAUUUUAAAAAAUAGAAUGGAUCUGCUUUUUACAUUGCUACCCCGAAAUAGAAAUAUUAUUAAUAAUCUAGAUUCAAGACUGCAAUGUAACUGCAACAAAGCAGGAGAACUGCUGAAGUUUAUCAGUCAUAUAAUUCACUGCUUAUGACUACACUGUAGGUCCAGAGAGGACUUUGUGUCAGAGCUUCAUAUGGCUUUUAACUAAGGCAUUAAAAAACAGCAAUCAACCUGAAGUCUCAGCAUCAUUUUAAGGAAGCAGAAUCCAAAGCAUGAGUGACUGACUCCAUUUGUCAGUGCACAAUUACUUAGUGAGAGCAUCUGUCAUGCUGCUAACAGGAAAACCACAACAUCACCACUGUGGUAUCUGAUACUUAGGACAUGAGAGGUAGCAUUCAGAGAAAUGAAACAGACUAGAAACCAUUUUCUGUCUGAAACCUCCUACAUCACCAAUCACAUCCUUUGGAAUAAACAAAUGCCUUGCUCGCACACACUGUGUCACCAGGGAACCAUCCCUGUCUCAUCCAAGUGCCAGGCACGCGUGCCAAGCAUUUAUUCUCUGGGAAAAUACUGCAGAUUGGAACUGCACCAAGGACUGCCAGGCCAAGUUAGCAGGAGGGAUGACCAUGUGCCAGUACUCAGCCUAUAUCCCAUUUCCACCGUGCAAAGACCCAUCUGUGUGCUCUCCCCUGCUUCCCUCUCCAGAGCUAAAAGCCAUCAACCAGGCAAGCAGAAGUCCCAAGAGUUUAAAAAUAACUGUAUUGUUUUGUUUUGCUGCCUAGGGUUGUGGCAUCAGUGUUUAUACUUCUGAGUCUACUCCUGCUCCAGUGAUGCUCAGAAAUAAAUCUUUUGAUGUAUAUGUAACAAUUGCAAGUAGAGAAGCACAGCAGCUGGAGCUGUGAAAAGAAAAUCAUAGCAUGACUCAUAAGAAAGGUGGGAAAACUGAAUUGGAGAGAACUCACCCAGAGCUGUGCCACAUUGCUAGGUGUGAAUCAUAUGUCUGAUAAAGUGUGUGCUCUCCUGUAUCGCUCCUCAAAGCAAUCCCCUACCACCUUAACGUGGAUGACUCUCCCGAAAGCGUGAUCUGUCGCUAAGUAAAAAGUAACAUCGCCUUUAACCCCUACAUUUACUAACAAUAUUGCCUUUGCUAGAUGGUGAGGGAUUCAUUUCAUGGCAUUUCAGCCAUCAUAGAAGAAAGUGUGACUUGUAAGGCAGGAAGUGUCCCCUGAUGGUGAUGAAUCUCAUUCCAAGAUGAGCAUGUAAGAUACUGAAGGAAAUUCCCUUUGGAUCCAUUUUUUUGUCUCCACUGACUAUAGAUGGGUAGAUGAGAUAACUUAAUUGGUGCCUAACUUAAAGGUGACUUAAAUGAAGCAAAAUGAAUCUUGCUCCCCUGCCCUAGCGUGUGCAGAUUAGUUAGUACAUUUUAGAGACAACUGAGGAAAAUUGAACAAAAUUCUUCCUUAACUGAAAUUAAGUAGGAGGUUGAAAAAAAAUUCUAUUUAUUUCAAGUGUUAAAUGGAAAUUAGCUAAAAUCCUAGAGAACCAUCUGUGCUGUUGUAAGAAAGCAGUUACUUUUCAUAUCUAUUUUUCUCUCUCUUAGAAAUGCAGAGAUGCCAGUUAAUGAGAAUUAAAAUAUGCUGGAUAAAAUCUUUUCAUCUUAGAAAUACGUGGACAGUUAUUGGUGACCAUACAUCUAUGAAAAGUCAGAUAUUAGUGGUAUUUAAUUCCUAAAGAUGGAGAAAAUUAUUUAUUUUCAAAAGCAUAUCUCUAAAAAUCUAGUCCAAAGUGAUUACAUCAAAAGAAACAUUGCAAAUUUGCUCUAGAUUUGAGCGGAAAUGAAUACAAAUGAUACUGCACUAGUCUGCCAGUGAUCCUAAUCCUGAAAUUAUGAUUCAUUUGGUAGGCUAAGGCUCUUUUGUACUAAAGAGAUUAUGAUAAUGAUUUCCUUUUCAAAAUACCCUUUAAUAAAAGGUCAAAUUCUGCUAUGAAGUUUUAUACACACACGCAUUUCUUCUUCUCAAAGGGGUGGAAAACAGUGAAAGCAUUUCAGAGAAAUCAGUAUACUUUCCCCUUGAAACACCUGAGUCUUAAUUGAUCUCACAUCUCCCUAAAAAAAAAGAAGAAAAAAAAAAAAGGAAUUUAAGUGAAGAAGGUAUCGAAGGCAAAGAUCAAAUCCAAGUUGCCUUAGAGGCAGUCCGUGGAGAAGAAAUACCAGAUAGAUUUUUUGCCACUAAAGUGCCACAGGUGAACAUAGAGAUAUGUGUACAAGAGUAGAUAGAAGUUUACUAAUGAGCACAUGUAUGGGAACUGCUGAGUCACGGCCUGAACCUAUGAUUGGUCACCUGAGGCGAGCCAUGAGUCAGCCAGAGGAGCACAGGUGAAGGCAAUUCACCUGUGCUGCCAAAAGGGGUGGAGCCUGGCUGCACCUCUCCUAGACCUAUUUAGGAGCUGGCUACCAGUGGGGAAGGAUCGCUUCUGGAGAUUGCUUCUACUGGUGUUUUGUGGAUGAGUCCAACCAAGGCAUAGAAUAGGAUGGAUAACUUACUGCUGUGAAGGAUGGAAACACUGGCUGAUCUCAUGGAUUAUAUGACUUGGAAGAAAACAUGCAAAAGAAAGCAAGAGUCAGCCUUGCUACCCAUUAUGCUCCUCCCAUAAUGAGGAUGUUUCAAUUUGCUUGGAUUGCUGACUGGAAAAAGACACCAACCUGCACUUGCUAACUGGCCUGUACUGGUUCAUUCUGAAUUGUGCUGUCUCAGGUCAGAAGAUUUCCUAGAUGUUUUUUGAGAUGUCCUCUCAGCCUUGUCACUGAACAGCAGUCUAAAUACAGGGAAAGAAAUAAAAAAUGCCUGUAUCCUUGAAAAGAAACAUUAAGUAGAAGAGAAUUUAAAAAUACAAGAGUGUGUCUUUAUUCUAAACUCACGACUGAAAUAUAUGGAAGACCACUGCUUGAGUUCAUUCAAGUUUCUGACCUAAAGGAUCUAUUUUUCUCUCUAGACUAUUAUUUCUUAAGGUGGUGGUGGUGGUGUUAUUGUUUGUUUGAGAAAAGAUCCUCUGUUCUGAAGGAUCAAGUUGUUACUUUUAGACAACAGGAGAUUUUCAUGAAUGUUUAUUCUUUGAGAAUACUUACAGCAGCAAUUACAGAAUUUCAAACUACAGAAUUCUACCUCUGGGACACAGAAGGACUUCCAACUCUGUUCAAUUUUGCCUUGUCAUCUGUUUGAUAAUAAUAAUUAAAGUUGCCCUGGGCCAAAGGGAGAUGGUGCUGACAGUCAGAGAGAAAGCAGUAUUGGAGAGGUGGCCUAUCUCCUGCAUUCGUUUUCUGAUAGACUUAACAACAAUGUUGAGCAGGGCAAGAGUUUAGGCCCACAUAACACAGAGAAAUAUUGGUGUGUGCUGAACCCAUCCCCUGCAUUUGUCACAUUUUUCUGGAUAAAAUAAUGGAUGACGAUCAGGGAAAGAAUCACAAUUGUCUUAUCUGUAGUGUCACUGGGAAGAUCUGGUUCUAUCUUCCAGAUCAAAGUAAUUAUGUAUGUGACAUGCUUAAGAAAUUCCUUAGUGUAAACCAAGGAUAACUGCCAGAUGUAAAACACGGGACACACCACAGGGAGCAGAGGCCAGAUAUACUGGGGAGACAGUGACCUUGAAGAAGGGAGAGACAUAGCAGAUGACUAAACGGAUAUGGAACUUCCCAGCCAGUGCAGAAGAUUUCUCCUGUAUGACUUUAAAAUAUUAUAAAUUGGUAAUUAUGUUGUAUCAGAGUGAGACACCUAUGGCAUUAUUAUGGGAGAAGUAUGUAAAGUUCUGAUACCAGAGUUGGAAGGACAGGAAGAGAUCAGGAUUCAUAAAAAUGAGAGAGAUCAGGAAGAAAGUCUUAAGGUUGUUCAUCUAUAUAUCAAAAACUAAACUGUGUAGUAAAGUCAAGAUAGAAAUGAAAUUCUUUAUUCUAGAUCAGAAAAAUGUAAUAAAAUAAAAAUUGGUGAACCAUAAGGCCGUGUAAAUUUACAUUAGAAAUAAGGCAGAAAUAAUUCAAAAUAGGACACAUUAUAAAAAGGCAAGUUUACUGUCAUCACUUGGAGUCCUGAAAGAUAAAAUGACAAGCUAUAGUUCAGACAAAAGCUAUUAGCUUAAUGUAGCUAUCACUGGCUGAAAAGCUAGAAGCUAUUAAAAGAUUCAGAUCAGAUAGUUGCAGUGCUCCAUCUGUCCUUAGAAUCACAAUUUGAUAAAGAUUCCUGGAGAUUGCAAGUUAAAUCCUGUAUUAUCCAUGUUUACUUUCUUUUGAUUAGUAAACAAAGCAGAAUGAAAGAUGCUGCAAAGUUAUUUUUCAUUGUAAGCACUAAAUUGCAUGCAAAAAAUAUGUAUACAGUUAACAGUAAGAAUUGGAGUUAUUUUCUGAACAGAAGAAAUCAAUUUUGUAAUAUAUUAAAAGUAAGCACUUGCAAACAGGAUUUUACAUUAUAUGACUAAAUACUACUUCUGGAGUAAAGAGUACAUACUCUGCCACUAGCAUGCAUUUUUCUGAAUUAUGCUAUUAAUGGGCAGGAAAAAUGCUAUGAAUGCAACAUAAAAGGGAUGAAUACAGUUCCCUAUCAAAGCAACGAAAGUUACUACCUAGAUAUGGAAGAAGAACAUUAUGUACUAAAUGCAUAUUCUUAAUAUGUCUACAAAGAAGCAGCCAAAGAGAAUCCAAUGAAUGUUUCUUAGCGAGAACCUCUUUCUCUAAACAACUAUUAAUUUGAGCUUAAGGA